ACUGUAGCCCUCCAAGCUCCUCAGUCCAUGGGGAUUCUCCAGGCAAGAAUACUGGAGUCAGUGGCCUUUCCCUUCUCCAGGGGAUCUUCCCAAUCCAGGGAUUGAACCCAGGUCCCCUGCAGUGCAGGUGGAUUCUUCACCAUCUGAGCCACCAGGGAAACCCAAACCUUAUUUUAGAGUUCACCAAUAGUUGAUGGCAGAAACUUCUUCUUUAGAGAUGAAUACCAGCUGAUAAAAGCAGAAGGAAUGAUAGAGUGAGGAAACCUUUUUUUAAUCACCUAUUGGAAGAAUGAGUCUAGGCAAUGGUCAUUAACAGAUGCUAAAGCCCUUAGGUGACAGGUUGACGGGGACUACAGAGGAGGGAUCAGCCUGGUGGUGAGCCAGGAACCUGCUAUCAAUCUUAAUGAAUAUUACUAAGAGGGUAACAGGACAUUAUGGUAUGAUGCAAACCAAAUACACAGUAUUUCCUCUGAAGCAGCCUUGCUGAAAAAGUUAAGCUGAAUCUAAGCAAGCCUCUGGAUCUUUUCAUUUAACAGGAAAUUCAGCAGAGGAACUAGUUAGAAAAUGUCAAGUCAAUGCCGUGGGACAUUUUCCAGGGCAAUUGAUCUGACUUCUCCAAUAAAUUCAUGACAUGGAACCUAGGUGGUGGCGGUGGGGGUGGGGGGGGGGGAGGUGCAAUACAGAUGUGAGACUUUAGACUUAGAGGUUUAACACCUAAAAUUAGUAUGUGGUCUUUGUUCAGAUCCUGAUUCAAAGGAGUCAACACUUAAAAAAGAUUUUUGAAAGACAAAUGCCAUAUGAUACCGCUUACUUGUGGAAUCUAAAGUAUGCCACAGAUGGGCCUGUCUGCAAAAUAGAAACCGACUCACAGACUUGGGAGUGCCAAGAGGGAGAGGGGUAUAAGAGAGAUGGCUUGGGAGUUCGGGAUUAGUAGAUACAAACUAUUCUCCUACAGUGGUCCUACUUUAUAGCAUAGGAACUAAAAUAAAGUUAGUAUCCUGGGGUAAAGCCUCAUGGAAAAGAACAUAAAAAAAUAUAUAUGUAGGUAUAACGGAGUCACUUAGCUGUACUGUAGAAAUUAACACAACAUUCUAAAUCAACUACACUUCAAUAACAAAAAUAAAUUUAAAAAAUAUUUCUGAGGCAGCAUAGAAAACCUGGAAUAUAGACCAGAUAUUAAAUGACCGUGGGCAAGAAUUAUCAGUUUUGUUUGUUGUAAUAAUGGCAGAAUAGUUAAAUAAAAAAGAAAAAAAAAUGUUUAUUGGUUAUGGGCUCAUACUGAAGUGUUUAGGAUAAAAGUAGAUGAUAGUUUGGAUUUUUCUAGAAACAUUCCAAUAUAGGAAAAGAAAGAAAAAGAAGGGAAUAAAGAGAUGAAACAGGAUUGGAAAAUAUGGGCAUCCUUCAAGAUGAUUAAAGAAACUCAUGUGAACCCAUUAUGCCAGUCUUUCUAAUCUUGCAUGUGUGUUCAUUCACUCAGUCGUGUCUGACACUUCGUGAUCCCAUGGACUGUAUAGCCCACCAGGCUCCUCUGUCCAUGGAAUUUUCCAGGCGAGAAUACUGGAGUGGGUUGCCAUUUCUACUCCAGGAGAUCUUCCUGGCCCAGGGAUUAAACUCAAGUCUCCUGCAUUGACAGGCGUUCUUACCACUGAGCCACCUGGGAAGCCCUCUUUCUAAGCUUAUGUGUUUUCAGUGUUUUCCAUAAUAAAAGUUCCAGUAGGAUCAUUGAGAUGUUGCUUCUUGCAAAUGUUAGAUCCUAGAAUACAAGUUCAAGACACCAAAAGUGUGCCCUAUAUGCUAGAGACUGCAAGGAGUCACGGAGAGAGAUGUUUGGGCUUUUCUGAGACGGGAUUUCAAGCAUGUUAAGGCAAACCAUCUGAUGAUGGAGCGGGCCACCGAGGUGCAUUCCAUUCUCAUUACAGCAGAGGUUUUAUGGAGCCGGGUUUCUCAGCGUGGUGUCUGGCAUGCUGCGAAAGGAGUAGCCGUGCGCUCUUUCCUGUGGGGUCUUGAAACCGGUGGUCGGGAAACCAAGCAGCACACUCGGAGAGGUGGAGAGCUCAGGUUAAUCACGCGGGAACCAAGCAGCACACUCGGAGAGGUGGAGAGCUCAGGUUAAUCACGCGGGAACCAAGCAGCACACUCGGAGAGGUGGAGAGCUCAGGUUAAUCACGCGGGAACCAAGCAGCACACUCGGAGAGGUGGAGAACUCAGGUUAAUCACGCGGGCAGGCCCAGAUGUGUCAACACUCCAAGCUCUGAGGCCCAAACAAAGAAGUUACAGGGUUUUUAUAGACAGACGAUAGUGGGCAGCACUAGCUGCUAUAUGCUGGUUUAAACUAAGAAGUUUCGCGAGCCGGAACAGCAAUCUUGACGGGGAGGGGAAUGCCUGAGCUUUACAUGAACAGGCAUGAUUAAGCAGGUUUGCAGGGGCCGGGCGAUUGCAGGACGAGGGUGAGUGAGAUAAGCUCCAAUUCCUAGCAUUGUAAGUCCCCACUUUCUGAGACUUCCUGACCUACGUGAUCCAGAAUUUGUAAGGAGUAAGCUGAGCUACAGAGGCAGGACAAGCAGGAGGUUAUGUAAAAAUUUUCACUUUUCCUCUUCAAUAUUGCUCCUUGUUGAGCGUCUUUGACAGGCUCCAUCUCUGCAGCUGUAACAAGGAGGUCUGACUGCACCAUAACUCACAUACUAAUAACAAAAGCCCGCGUGGCUCGCUGGGGAUUUACUGUUUUCCAGUUCCUGUCAUACAGCUGACAAGGAAUGUCUUAUUUUAUGAUCCUGAAACUGGGCAGGACCCUAAGGGGCCUUCCCGGGACAGACCCUCCCCCGACACCCUCUGCUGUGGCUCUUCUCUGAAGUGCCUAGAUAAUAGCAUCUGAUGCACACUCCCUGAGUUGAUUUACAGAUGCUAAAACCACCACCAAAUGGAAGAAAUUAGCCACCUGAUGACCCUGAGCACUUAGCCCCCAGACCUACUGGCGCCUGAGGAUUGAUUCCGUUAACCCCUGCAACAAGGCCUCUUUAUGUCUGCAUCAGCCAAGCACAGAAUUGUGCACGAGCUGAUCACAGCCCCUGCGAGUCCCUCUCCCUCAC
ensembl:lncRNA